GCAAACUUGGUCAUUUAGAGGAAGUAAAAGUCGUAACAAGGUAUCCGUAGGUGAACCUGCGGAUGGAUCAUUAAACAAGGAUAUUGGGGACAACAACAACCCUGAUUCAUCAUUGACGACUGUACUGUAACUUUUGGCCACUACUGGCCAAAAUGAUUCACAAUCGAACAACCAUUUGUCUUAUGUGUGUAAUGCAAAUCAUAUACAACUUUUAACAAUGGAUCUCUUGGCUCUUGCAUCGAUGAAGAACGCAGC
rnacentral:misc_RNA from 1 species